rnacentral:rRNA from 1 species
UGGGGAAUCUUCCGCAAUGGACGAAAGUCUGACGGAGCAACGCCGCGUGAGUGAAGACGGCCUUCGGGUUGUAAAGCUCUGUGAUCCGGGACGAAAGAGCCUGAGGUAAAUAGCCUAAGGAAGUGACGGUACCGGAAAAGCAAGCCACGGCUAACUACGUGCCAGCAGCCGCGGUAAUACGUAGGUGGCAAGCGUUGUCCGGAAUUAUUGGGCGUAAAGCGCGCGCAGGCGGCUUACUAAGUCCAUCUUAAAAGUGCGGGGCUUAACCCCGUGAUGGGAUGGAAACUGGAAAGCUGGAGUAUCGGAGAGGAAAGUGGUAUUCCUAGUGUAGCGGUGAAGUGCGUAGAGAUUAGGAAGAACACCGGUGGCGAAGGCGACUUUCUGGACGAAAACUGACGCUGAGGCGCGAAAGCGUGGGGAGCAAACGGG